UCGAUUGAGUUUGAUCAUGGCUCAGGACGAACGCUGGCGGCGUGCCUAACACAUGCAAGUGGAGCGACGAACCAGGCUUCGGCCUGGGGCAAAGCCGCGAACGGGUGAGUAACACGUGGGUUACCUGCCCCGAUGAUCGGGACAACCCGAGGAAACUCGGGCUAAUACCGAAUGUGCCCUCCGGCCACAAGGCCGCUGGGGAAAGGAAGCUUCGGCCUCCGCAUCGGGAUGGGCCCGCGGCCCAUUAGCUUGUUGGUGAGGUAACGGCUCACCAAGGCGACGAUGGGUAGCUGGUCUGAGAGGACGAUCAGCCAUACUGGGACUGAGACACGGCCCAGACUCCUACGGGAGGCAGCAGUGGGGAAUCUUGCGCAAUGCGCGAAAGCGUGACGCAGCAACGCCGCGUGGGGGAAGACGGCCUUCGGGUUGUAAACCCCUUUCAGUAGGGACGAAGCUUCGUCGGUGAACAGCCGGCUGGAGUGACGGUACCUUCAGAAGAAGCCCCGGCUAACUACGUGCCAGCAGCCGCGGUAAUACGUAGGGGGCAAGCGUUGUCCGGAAUCAUUGGGCAUAAAGAGCGUGUAGGCGGCUCGGUAAGUCCGCUGUGAAAGUCCAGGGCUCAACCCUGGAAUGCCAGUGGAAACUGUCGAGCUAGAGUCCGGAAGANGCGAGUGGAAUUCCUGGUGUAGCGGUGAAAUGCGCAGAUAUCAGGAGGAACACCAAUGGCGAAGGCAGCUCGCUGGGACGGUACUGA
rnacentral:rRNA from 1 species